GUGUUCCACUAAGUAAUACUCUUCUUUUGGCUUUCAAAUUUAUAAGCGCUUGAUACGUCUGAUUUUCGGAAUUUUUUAAACGAUGUCCUUCAUCGCACAAUACGAGUCCAACCUCAUCUUGAUGAAGAACGUGUGCAAUCCAGUCACAAUAAAUGCACAACAUGCAAUACAAUCUA